GGGAGUUUGGUCUAGUGGUAUGAUUCUCGCUUAGGGUGCGAGAGGUCGUGGGUUCAAUUCCCACAACUCCCC
rnacentral:tRNA from 1 species